UACGUAGGGUGCGAGCGUUUGUCCGGAAUUAUUGGGCGUAAAGAGCUCGUAGGCGGCCCUGUCGCGUCGGAUGUGAAAGCCCCGGGGCUUAACCCCGGGGUCUGCAUUCGAUACGGGCAGGCUAGAGUGUGGUAGGGGAGAUCGGAAUUCCUGGUGUAGCGGUGAAAUGCGCAGAUAUCAGGAGGAACACCGGUGGCGAAGGCGGGUCUCUGGGCCGAAACUGACGCUGAGGAGCGAAAGCGUGGGGAGCAAACAGG
rnacentral:rRNA from 1 species